CAUUUCUUACUUAAUUAAUUGUAAGUAACACCUGCUCAAUGAAUAUUUAAAUAGCCGCGGAAAUUUAACCGUGCUAAGGUAGCAUAAUCAUUAGCCUCUUAAUUAGAGGCUAGCAUGAACGGUGAAACAUUUCAAUUACUUUUUUAAUUUAUAUAUUUAAAUUUAAAUUAAGAAUAAAAAUGUUCUUAUUAAUAAAAUAGACGAUAAGACCCUUUUGAACUUUACUUUAGUUUAGCUGGGGCAGCUAAACAAAAAUAAUCUUAUUUAAAAUUUUUUCUUAAAUGACCCAAUAUAUUUGAUUAAUUGACCAAGUUACCAUAGGGAUAACAGCGUAAUAUCUUUUUAAAGCUCUUAUUAAAAAAGAAGAUUGCGACCUCGAUGUUGAAUUAAUGUAACUUUACCGAUGCAGUAAUUUAAAAAGUAGGUCUGUUCGACCUUUAAAACAUUACAUGAUC
rnacentral:rRNA from 1 species